AGGGCAAAAUUUUAUUAAUAAAUUUUGUUUAUUAUAAAUCCUAAAAGAUAUGUUUCUAAAUCGAUUUUAUUCUAGCUCUAUUAGUUUCCCUAUUAUAAUAUGCCAAAGAUGUUGAAAACGUAAAAAUUAUAAUUUUUGAAUACUAAAAUCUAUUAUGAUUCUAAAACCAAUAAAGAUGGAGCAAAACUUUAUUUAUUUGAAAUUGUUUAAAUUUAUUUUUGAGUUCUCUUAUCUCAGAGUUUUUUAUACAAAAUAAUAAUUUAGCGAGUUUAGGUUCAAAAAGGAAAGUUUAGAUUACAGAUUUCUAUUUUAAAUUCAUUAACGCCAAUAAUGACAGAUGUCAAAUUGAACGUAAAAAAGAUAUAAAUCGGUCGAUAAUAAUCGAUAGAUUCUCAAUUAAAAUGAAAGUAACAGUGUUAUCGCGUAAUUUUGAUUCUUCAAUUCAUUCAUAGGUUAUGUUGUAACUCAAUUCGAUUGAAGGUCCCUCUUAGGAAUGGAAAAUGGACAGCAAUCCGAAACACAGGUAAUUUCUCCUCAGUUUAAUAAUAAUAAUAAUAACUUUUUUAGAUCAAAAUUCAACCGUGUUCUAACUCUUACUAAAUUGGACUGAUCUUGACUCAACUUUUUCCUCUUCUUAUAUACCCUUUUUUCCCUCCCCAAAAAAAUUUCUUCGUUCUAUUUUUAACUCCGACUCCUGAUUGGUUGGUGGGUUUCGCGCCAUUUCUUCCCUUAAAAUAAUUUCAAAUUUUACUUAAUUACGAAAACGCCAUCUAGUGGAUUUCUUUCGAACCACUCAAAAUUCCAACAUUAUUUUAUUCAUAUCUUCUUUAAUUCUUCACUAAUUUGGAUGAAACUGCGUAUUUGAUGCAUAUGAGUUUCUAUUUCAGCCGUCCAUUGGAGGUUUCAAGAUUCUCCAACCACAAAAGAAGUUUGAAUUUUACAACCUUUAAAUCCACUUUUCAAGAUCAAAAUUGUUCAAAAUCUUCCAGAAUCUAAUAAAUUAGAUGUAGCUGACGCUGAUCUUCCCAUUUUGGAUGGUUUAGAAAGGAUGGUAAUAGUUUUAAAGAAAUUAUGAGCAACUAAAAAUUAACUGUCAACUGAAUUGAGGUUAUGUUUCUUUCUCAGGUAAAACUUGUCUCGGAAGUUUUAUUAAACUAUUUAUUUCGUCAUAAACACUUAAUGACAUCUAUUUGUUUAAAAACCUAGAUUAAUUAAUGUUUGACCAAAAAAAUAAAUACUUUUGACAGUUAAUAUAACCUCAACAUAAUUGUUAUUUACUUAAUUAAAAAUUAACAAUUAAACACAUUUAAACUGA